rnacentral:piRNA from 1 species
UNUCCAGGUUUAAAAGCUAUGAUACUAGC